rnacentral:rRNA from 1 species
UACCAGCUCUCCGAGUUGUAGGGAUGAUUAUUGGGCUUAAAGCGUUCGUAGCUGGCUUAGCAAGUCUCCUGUUAAAUUCAGCGACCUAAUCGUUGAGCCGCGGGAGAUACUACUAGGCUAGGAGGCGGGAGAGGUUAACGGUACUUUCGGGGUAGGGGUGAAAUCCUAUAAUCCCGGGAGGACCACCAGUGGCGAAGGCUGUUGACUAGAACGCGCUCGACGGUGAGGGACGAAAGCUGGGGGAGCGAACCGGAUUAGAUACCCGGGUAGUCCCAGCUGUAAACUAUGCGGGCUAGGUGUUGGGGUGGCUACGGGCCACUUCAGUGCCGCAGGAAAGCCAUUAAGCCCGCCGCCUGGGGAGUACGGCCGCAAGGCUGAAACUUAAAGGAAUUGGCGGGGAGCACCACAAGGCGUGAAGCUUGCGGUUC